rnacentral:rRNA from 1 species
CCUACGGGUGGCAGCAGUGAGGAAUAUUGGUCAAUGGACGAAAGUCUGAACCAGCCAAGUAGCGUGCAGGAUGACUGCCCUAUGGGUUGUAAACUUCUUUUAUAUGGGAAUAAAGUGUUCCACGUGUGGGAUUUUGUAUGUACCAUAUGAAUAAGGAUCGGCUAACUCCGUGCCAGCAGCCGCGGUAAUACGGAGGGUCCGGGCGUUAUCCGGAUUUAUUGGGUUUAAAGGGAGCGUAGGUGGAUUGUUAAGCCUGUUGUGAAAGUUCGCGGCUCAACCCGGAAAUUGCAGUGGAAACUGGCAUGCUUGAGUACACGGGAGGUGGGCGGAAUUCGUGGUGUAGCGGUGAAAUGCUUAGAUAUGACGAAGAACCCCGAUUGCGAAGGCAGCUUGCUGGACUGGAACUGACGCUGAGGCUCGAAAGUGGGGGUAUCAAACAGGAUUAGAUACCCGAGUAGUC